rnacentral:rRNA from 1 species
UACGUAGGGGGCAAGCGUUGUCCGGAAUUAUUGGGCGUAAAGAGCUCGUAGGCGGCCACUCAAGUCGAAUGUGAAACCUCGAGGCUUAACCUCGAGCCUGCAUUCGAUACUGGGCGGCUAGAGUCUGGUAGGGGGAUCUGGAAUUCCUGGUGUAGCGGUGGAAUGCGCAGAUAUCAGGAGGAACACCGGUGGCGAAGGCGGGAUCCUGGGCCAGUACUGACGCUGAGGAGCGAAAGCGUGGGGAGCAAACAGG